AAUAGAUACCCGGGUAGUCCACCCGUAAACGUUGGGAACUAGUUGUGGGGUCCUUUCCACGGAUUCCGUGACGCAGCUAACGCAUUAAGUUCCCCGCCUGGGGAGUACGGCCGCAAGGCUAAAACUCAAAGGAAUUGACGGGGACCCGCACAAGCGGCGGAGCAUGCGGAUUAAUUCGAUGCAACGCGAAGAACCUUACCAAGGCUUGACAUACACGAGAACGGGCCAGAAAUGGUCAACUCUUUGGACACUCGUGAACAGGUGGUGCAUGGUUGUCGUCAGCUCGUGUCGUGAGAUGUUGGGUUAAGUCCCGCAACGAGCGCAACCCUCGUUCUAUGUUGCCAGCACGUAAUGGUGGGAACUCAUGGGAUACUGCCGGGGUCAACUCGGAGGAAGGUGGGGAUGACGUCAAAUCAUCAUGCCCCUUAUGUCUUGGGCUUCACGCAUGCUACAAUGGCCGGUACAAUGGGCUGCGAUACCGUAAGGUGGAGCGAAUCCCAAAAAGCCGGUCCCAGUUCGGAUUGAGGUCUGCAACUCGACCUCA
rnacentral:rRNA from 1 species